GUGAAUUUUCGCGACUUUCCUUCGUGCGUUAAAUGUGUGCGGUAAAAAGAACAGAAAUUCAAACCGUUGGGAACAAAACAAACGAAAUUCGGACAUCUUGAACGCACAAUACACCGCGAUUAGUGUGACGUCGUGUUGUCUGAUCGAAAUUCGCGUCGAGCACGAUUGGAUCCGAACGAAUAAAAACGUACAUACAAGUCGCUUAAACAUUGUUACAAUGUCCAAUAGUGGAAUUCGGAAGCUCGCGCCGCUUCGAUACACUGGUUUGUGUCGGUUCAUUUGACGAACAUGAUUAAACGUCGUAACUGCGCAGAGUUCAACGAUUCUUAUUCCUGUUGAAUGUCUUACAAUAUAUUAUUCCCUUCGUUGUUCGUUCGCAGUUUGGACACAUUCUAACACCCGUCAAGAAUCCGGUAAAAUGACAGUAUUGAUCGGUGAUAGUGACGCGAAUGGGUACCCCAAUACACGA